rnacentral:misc_RNA from 1 species
CGUCUGUUCCAAGAUGGCGACUGUUGACGAUGAUGACUUAUUGGAAGAUGAACAUUUGGAGUCAUUACUUGAAUUUCCAAUCGAAGUGCAAGAAGCUAUCGAUCAGAUGCUACCUAGUGAUGACCCUCUGGACAAGACAGAUUUCAACCCCAUAGAUUACAUCAAUACUCUGUUCCCUACAGAACAAUCUUUAGCAAACAUUGAUGAUGUUGUUGGGAAAAUUAGACACAAGAUCAGGAGACUAGAUGAUGAUAUACGGACAGUUGUUAGAGGUCAGACCAACGUUGGGGAGGAUGGUAAACUGGCCCUAGAGGAAGCACAGAAGGCCAUACAGGAACUCUUCGCCAAAAUCAUCGAUAUAAAAGACAAGGCAGAGAAGUCGGAGGAAAUGGUCAAAGAAAUCACCAGAGAUAUAAAGCAGUUAGACCAUGCGAAGAAAAACUUGACAGGAUCCAUAACAACUCUGAACCAUUUACACAUGUUGGUGGGAGGUGUUGAUUCACUCACGUCUCUAACAAGAAGAAGACAGUAUGGAGAAGUGGCAAACCUGUUACAGGGUGUGCUCAAUGUUCUUGACCACUUCCAGAAGUAUAUGAGCAUUCCACAGAUCAAACAACUGGCUGACAGAGUGAAACAGAUCCAAUCAGAGCUGGGGACACAAAUACAGGCUGAUUUUGAGGAGGCAUUCCAGGGGGCUGGGGCUAAGUAUGGUCCUGGGAACCAGCGUCAGUUAAAGGAGGCAUGUUUUGUGGUCAGUGUUUUGGACAGUAAGGUGAAGAAGGAUCUCCUAAGCUGGUUUGUCAAACUGCAGUUGUCUGAAUACCUGGUAUUGUUUGGGGAGAACCAAGAUGUGGCUUGGCUGGACAAGAUUGAUAGACGCUAUACAUGGAUCAAAAGAACUCUCGUAGACUUUGAGGAGAAGUUUGGCCAUUUGUUUCCACCUGACUGGGAGGUCAGCGAAAGGAUAUGUGCAGAGUUCUGUGAUAUAACCAGGAGAGAACUCGGUAAUAUUAUGGCUAAGAGACGGGCGGAGAUUGAUGUCAAACUGCUGCUGUUUGCCAUACAGAGGACCACCAACUUUGAGGCCCUGAUAGCUAAGAGAUUCACAGGGGUAACACUACAGGAGGGUCAGCCUAAACCGGUGGUGAGACCCUCCUCUCCACCAUCCAUUCCCUUUGAGGAGUCCAGCAACCCAUUCGAAGGGGCUUCAGACGGGGAGACAACUCCUAGUGAAGAAAGCAAGGUGGACCAGAAGCCCCAAAUCCUGUCGCCCUUCAGCGGUAUCAUUUCAAGGUGUUUUGAGGCACACCUUAGUAUCUACAUUGAAUCUCAAGACAGAAAUUUAGCCGAGUUGAUCAACCGGUUCCUGGAGGACCUGCGCCAGCAUGGCACCCCACGUAUGGAGUCAGAGGAAAGCAGUAAUGUUUUACCCAGCUGUGCAGACCUUUUUGUGUUCUACAAGAAAUGUAUGGUUCAGUGCUCACAACUAAGUACUGGUCAGCCAAUGCUUGACCUCACUCGGACAUUCCAGAAAUACCUCCGGGAGUAUGCCCAUAGAGUGCUACUCACCAACCUUCCAAAAAUGGCGAGUCAGAACACAGGCAUCAGUUCUGCAUCAGGUUUAAUACAGAGUAUCCUCAAAGAGGGCGAGGUAACAAAGUUUACAGAGGAAGAGCAGUGUAGGGUGUGUAGCAUUCUGUGUUCUGCCGAGUACUGCAUGGAGACUUCACAACAGCUGGAGGAGAAGUUAAGAGAGAAGGUUAACAAGGAAUUGUCCUUACAGAUAGACCUUAACCCUGAACAGGAUACCUUCCAUAAUGUAAUUUCCAGCUGUAUACAGGUAUUAGUGCAAGAUCUGGAGAUUGCAUGUGAGCCAGCUCUUGUAGCAAUGAGCAAGAUGUCGUGGUCCACGAUAGAGGCGGUGGGCGACCAGAGUGGAUAUGUGACUGCCCUCACCUCCCACCUCAAACACAACCUGCCAAUCAUCAGGGACAACCUGGCCGCCUCCCGCAAAUACUUCACACAAUUCUGUCUGAAAUUUGCCAAUACUUUUAUUCCUAAAUUCAUCAACCAUCUUUUCAAAUGCAAAAAUAUCAGUACAGUAGCAGCAGAACAGUUGUUACUGGAUACUCACUCCCUGAAGACAGUGUUACUAGAUCUCCCCUCCCUAGGAUCCCAGAUCAUCAGGAAGGCUCCAGCCAGUUUCACAAAGAUAGUGGUGAAAGGAAUGACAAAGGCUGAGAUGAUGCUUAAGGUUGUGAUGUCCCUCCAUGAUCCACCACAAGGAUUCGUUGACAACUACAUCAGACUACUUAGUGAUUCAGAUAUCAAUGAGUUUCAGAAAGUCUUGGAAAUGAAGGGAUUAAGAAGAGGCGACCAAAGUAAUUUAUUGGAGAUCUAUCGAGCCAGAAUUCCUGUUUCCAUGGCACUUGGGGGUCAUUCAGAAAUGUCGGUCACCUCUACACCAGAGCCGGAGUCUAGUCGUAUUAAAAAGCUAGAGAAGCUCAUCAAGAAAAGACUUUAACACAACGCUAGUGUUAAAACACAUAAUUUUGAAAUUGUUGAGUCAAAGUGAGUCGGAGACAGCAUCUUCAGAUAUUUUCAAAAGUGCUAGACCAAAACACACUCAGACCAGAAGAACGCUUUAAUAUGCUUUCAAUGCCCAUGGAUACGUUCAGUAGGUAAUGUGGUGAAUGAGUUAAACUAUUUUGAACGCUGUAGCUAUCAUCGUCACGGAUCAUAGACAUUUGUGAACUGAUGUAAUGUCAAAAGAGUGCAAUAGGAGUUAUAUAUUGGAGUUUAUUGGUACAUUGUACUGCUUGACCAUGUAAUGUAAAUUGAAAUAAUAUGGAGGUCUGCUUAGUGCUUUAACUAUGUAGGGUAAACAAUUUCAAGUUUACAGAGUUACAAAUUAUGUAUUUAAUGCUUCAUCAUGAAUUGCGUCUUAUAUUAUGGUAAUAAUUUUAGAGGUUUUCUCCAGGUUUGGACAAUAUCAUGAACCCCACAAAACCUAUACACUAUAAUUUGUAAUUGGGAGAUUUAAGUAUACAUAUAUAAAAAAAAAAUGUAUUAUUAUGUCUUCUGUGAUAAAAGGGAUAAUGCAUCCAGGUAUUUUGUGAUACAUUGGGGUAAAUAUAAAAAGGUUAAUUAUCCCAAAUUUCUACCUGUCAAUUAUGAACCCACAAGUAGACAAAAGUUGAAGUUCCCCAAAGUACUGGGGAGGAUUUAUGAAUGAGGGACCAGAUAUGUAUUUAUGUCAGGACUAUUUUAGAAAUGAACAUAAGGGGAAGGAAUGGAGGAGGCCAGGGAGGCAUACUCACCCCCACAACCACCAACAACUUCCUGUUAUACAUUACCUGCGAGAUAUACAAAUAUCGAAAAUUUAAGUAUUAUAAGUAUGUGAAUCCCCCUGCCCCUCCCUCCAACCCCCAUAAAUUUAUUAUAUCUGAAAUAGUCGGCGUCAUAAGCAUGUUAAGAUAUUGAAAUUAAAUGUAACCUCAUUGAUUACAAAAGGUUGUGUGUGAAAUUAAAGUUGAAUGCGCAUAUAUUCUCAAAUAAAAUAUGGCAAAAUGAGAUUUUCACUCCCAUUUUAGUUCAGUUGAAAUGAAGGAAAAUUCAGCUUGGGAUGAAACGUGUAUGCUGUAAAACUUCACUAUAUUGCCAAAUUUUGUUUUUACCAAGGGGUUUUGGAGAUUAAUCAAGUGAUAUAUAGGAAUUGUUAUAAGAAAAUAUGUUUGGGUUAAUUGAGGCAGCAGUGAAUUGAGGGACAUUAUAUUGUGGCUUUACUGAAUAGUUUCAGCAGUGCUGAUAUACUAGUAAAGAUCUACAUAGUGAAUUUAACACCUAAUGAAUUUGGAUAAUUUGUUUUGGUGAAAAUAUUAGUGUGCAAGAAUAUGGUUCACUUUGCGCAAGCUUACAUGUACAAUGUAUGUGUGGAGAUAAGUUGACAUCUAUAGUUACCUUUUGAUCUGUAUAUAUAUAUAUGCAUCUGAUAAUGAUAAUAAUAAAAUGUAUAUAAUUGACUGUAGUUAAUAGUGUACAUAGAAAUACCAGGUAUACUUUCCUGGUACCAAUAUUAUCAGUGUUUGGGGCCUGUGAUCCUUCCGUUUGUUAAUUGUCAUCUCCCAAUCAUGUCACCGAUUCAUCCGAGUUCUGAACACAACUUCCUUGCUAUAUGGAGGGAGCAUAUAGACAAACAAGUAUUUUGUCUUUUAAGGUAGAUCUGCAGUCAGUGUUUUUGCCAGAGAUAAAAGUUGAGGGUAAAAUCAAAAUCAAGCAUAAAUCUUGUGUUUUAGCAAGCCUCUGUCAUCUUUAGGGUCAAAAUCCAUUUUAUAUCCACUUAUAGGGGUUAACAGAAACCCUAUCCCUCAAUGAUUUAUCAUGAUUUCUUUUAAAUCAUUAAAUUAAUUUCAAAAGAGUAUAAAAAGUCAAUAAAACACCUGACUACUCAUAUUCUAUUUGAAGCCAGAUGUCUUCAAUAUAUAAACCCUCAGGUUUCAACAGAAGCUAUUAUGAAAUAUUUGCCUUACAACUGUGAAUAAAAUAAAUUUCUUCGUCAAAUUGGUGUAAUAAGACAUUUAUAUUUACUGGUAAUAUCUUUGUAAUAUUAUUUAAUCUAGAUUGAUGUCUUGUCUUCGUUGGAAAAUUAUUUAAAUUUGUUGAAAUAUCUCGACAAUAAAUAAGAUACUGUACCGUAAGUGACUAUGCAUCCUGAGCUGUACAAAUUUGGUUAUAAAUCAGAUGCUGUGAAAACAGCCAUGUCGCUGACCUUGACAUUAUACAAGGUGGAUCUACUUCAACUGUUUUUGUUUGUCAUCAAUAGAUCAAGAUAUAUGCAGUGCUGAUCUGGCCAAUUUACAUUUGUAUGCAGGACACAGAUUUUUAAAGUACUUAAUUAUUUCAUUACGAAAUAGUAUGUGGGUACACCAUUUGUUAAUUUAUGAUCUGUUGGAAUUGUUAUGUAAGAGAUUUGAUGAUAAAGGUCCAUGUUGUGUUAUUUAAAAAGAUGAAAGAUAUACAGUGAACAAAAAUAAAUAGGUAUAUGAUGUA